rnacentral:rRNA from 1 species
UACAGAGGUCUCAAGCGUUGUUCGGAUUCAUUGGGCGUAAAGGGCGCGUAGGCGGCGGGGUAAGUCGGGUGUGAAAUUUCGGAGCUUAACUCCGAAACUGCAUUCGAUACUGCGGUGCUUGAGGACUGGAGAGGAGACUGGAAUUCAUGGUGUAGCAGUGAAAUGCGUAGAGAUCAUGAGGAAGACCAGUGGCGAAGGCGGGUCUCUGGACAGUUCCUGACACUGAGACACGAAGGCCAGGGGAGCAAACGGG